rnacentral:rRNA from 1 species
GUCCAGACUCCUACGGGAGGCAGCAGUGGGGAAUAUUGCACAAUGGGGGAAACCCUGAUGCAGCGACGCCGCGUGAGUGAAGAAGUAUUUCGGUAUGUAAAGCUCUAUCAGCAGGGGAGAAAAUGACGGUACCUGACUAAGAAGCCCCGGCUAACUACGUGCCAGCAGCCGCGGUAAUACGUAGGGGGCAAGCGUUAUCCGGAUUUACUGGGUGUAAAGGGAGCGUAGACGGCAUGGCAAGUCAGAUGUGAAAGCCCGGGGCUCAACCCCGGGACUGCAUUUGAAACUGUCAGGCUGGAGUGCAGGAGAGGUAAGUGGAAUUCCUAGUGUAGCGGUGAAAUGCGUAGAUAUUAGGAGGAACACCAGUGGCGAAGGCGGCUUACUGGACUGUAACUGGCGUUGAGGCUCGAAAGCGUGGGGAGCAAACAGGAUUAGAUACCCGCGUA